GACGAACGCUGGCGGCGGGCUUAACACAUGCAAGUCGAACGGGAAGUCCCUGCUUUUGUGGGGUGCUCGAGUGGCGAACGGGUGAGUAACACGUGAGUAACCUGCCCUGGACUUUGGGAUAACUUCAUGAAACUUGGGCUAAUACCGGAUAGGAGCUCCUGCUGCAUGGUGGGGGUUGGAAAGUUUCGGCGGUUGGGGAUGGACUCGCGGCUUAUCAGCUUGUUGGUGGGGUAGUGGCUUACCAAGGCUUUGACGGGUAGCCGGCCUGAGAGGGUGACCGGACACAUUGGGACUGAGAUACGGCACAGACUACUACGGGAGGCAGCAGUGGGGAAUAUUGCACAAUGGGCGGAAGCCUGAUGCAGCAACGCCGCGUGCGGGAUGACGGCCUUCGGGUUGUAAACCGCUUUCGCCUGUGACGAAGCGUGAGUGACGGUAAUGGGUAAAGAAGCACCGGCUAACUACGUG
rnacentral:rRNA from 1 species